rfam:Rhodobacteraceae bacterium HLTCCA08 ITZX_scaf_299, whole genome shotgun sequence.
AGGGGUGUAGCUCAGUUGGUAGAGCAUCGGUCUCCAAAACCGAGGGUCGGGGGUUCGAGCCCCUCCGCCCCUG